GUCCAGGGGCGGGAAUCGAACCCACGACAGAUGCACCCGGGCAGAUGCCAUGUCCACUAGGCUACCCUGGA